AUACGGAGGGUGCAAGCGUUACUCGGAAUCACUGGGCGUAAAGCGCGCGCAGGCGGAUUGGCAAGUUGGAUGUGAAAGCCUGCGGCUCAACCGCAGAACUGCAUCCAAAACUGUCAGUCUAGAGUCUGGGAGAGGUAGCUGGAAUUAGUGGUGUAGGGGUAAAAUCCGUAGAGAUCACUAGGAAUACCGAAAGCGAAGGCGAGCUACUGGAACAGUACUGACGCUGAGGCGCGAAAGCGUGGGGAGCAAACAGGAUUAGAAACCCUUGUAGUCC
rnacentral:rRNA from 1 species